AAAUUGAAGAGUUUGAUCAUGGCUCAGAUUGAACGCUGGCGGCAGGCCUAACACAUGCAAGUCGAACGGUAACAGGAAGCAGCUUGCUGCUUCGCUGACGAGUGGCGGACGGGUGAGUAAUGUCUGGGAAGCUGCCUGAUGGAGGGGGAUAACUACUGGAAACGGUGGCUAAUACCGCAUAACGUCGCAAGACCAAAGAGGGGGACCUUCGGGCCUCUUGCCAUCAGAUGUGCCCAGAUGGGAUUAGCUAGUUGGUGAGGUAACGGCUCACCAAGGCGACGAUCCCUAGCUGGUCUGAGAGGAUGACCAGCCAC
rnacentral:rRNA from 1 species